AUUGAACGCUGGCGGCAGGCCUAACACAUGCAAGUCGAGCGGAUGAAGGUGGCUUGCUCCUGGAUUCAGCGGCGGACGGGUGAGUAAUGCCUAGGAAUCUGCCUGGUAGUGGGGGAUAACGUCCGGAAACGGGCGCUAAUACCGCAUCCGUCCUGCGGGAGAACGUGAGGGAUCUUCGGACCUCACGCUAUCAGAUGAGCCUAGGUCGGAUUAGCUAGUUGGUGGGGUAAAGGCCUACCAAGGCGACGGUCCGUAACUGGUCUGAGAGGAUGAUCAGUCACACUGGAAUUGAGACACGGUCCAGACUCCGACGGGAGGCAGAAGUGGGGAAUAUUGGACAAUGGGCGAAAGCCUGAUCCAGCCAUGCCGAGUGUGUGAAGAAGGUCUUCGGAUUGUAAAGCACUUUAAGUUGGGAGGAAGGGCAGUAAGUUAAUACCGUGCUGUUUUGACGUUACCAACAGAAUAAGCACCGGCUAACUUCGUG
rnacentral:rRNA from 1 species